ensembl:misc_RNA 7SK 7SK RNA
GGAUGUGAGGGCCAUCUGGCUGCGACAUCUGUCACCCCAUUGAUCGCCAGGGUUAAUUCGGCUGAUCUGGCUGUCUAGGCGGGUGUCUCCUUCCUCCCUGAUCGCUCCAUGUGCAUCCCUCCCGAAGUUGUGCGCUCGGUCCAAGAAGAUGGCCUUCCCUGAAUAGAGACAGACUGGUCUUGAGUUGAGGGUAUAUGAGUAGCUAUGCUCCCCUGCUAGAACCUCCAAUCAAGCUCUCAAGGUCCAUAAAGGAAGUGGAAGUGUCAGCACCAGAGCAGGGAACCUGAGUGGCACCCCCUCCAAGAAACCUCAGACACUUUGUUGUUGUUGUUG